rnacentral:rRNA from 1 species
GACGAACGCUGGCGGCGUGCCUAAUACAUGCAAGUCGACAACAGCGGCGGACGGGUGAGUAACACGUAAGGAACCUACCGAUAACCGGGGGACAACAUCCGGAAACGCGUGCUAAUACCGCAUACUUAUCGAUGGCCUUGCGGUGCAUUAGCUGGUUGGUGGGGUAACGGCCUACCAAGGCAAGGAUGCAUAGCCGACCGGAGAGGGUAAUCGGCCACAUUGGGACUGGGACACGGCCCAAACUCCUACGGGAGGCAGAAGUAGGGAAUCUUCCGCAAUGGGCGCAAGCCGGAGAGAGAAACGCCGCGUGAGUGAAGAAGGUUUUCGGAUCGUAAAGCUCGGUUGUAAGAGAAGCGGUAUCUGACCAGAAAGCCACGGCUAACUACGUGCCAGCAGCCGCGGUAAUAC